UAGCUUGCUAUGAGCUGUUUUAGCGGCGGACGGGUGAGUAACGCGUGGGUAACCUGCCCUGUACACACGGAUAACAUACCGAAAGGUAUGCUAAUACGAGAUGAUAUAUAAAAGUUGCAUGACUUUCAUAUCAAAGCUUUUGCGGUACAGGAUGGACCCGCGUCUGAUUAGCUAGUUGGUAAGGUAACGGCUUACCAAGGCGACGAUCAGUAGCCGACCUGAGAGGGUGAUCGGCCACACUGGAACUGAGACACGGUCCAGACUCC
rnacentral:rRNA from 1 species